AGUCACGGCCACCAAAUCGGCCACCCCCACUUCGCCGAUUCUUACCACCACUAUAUGAAGCCCGUGAAGCAUAGCGAGUGAGCCAAGCAGGCACUUCUUGAUUUGCUUCCUGCAUUAAAUCAGCUAGAGAUCUUGCGAGUGACAUAUUGUUCUCAUUAAAGAAAGCUGUGGCUAGUCCUGUUUUUCCAGCUCGUCCUGUUCGCCCUAUCCUGUGAAC
rnacentral:misc_RNA from 1 species